UUUUUUUUUUUUUAUUAUUAUUAUUAUUAUUUGCAAUCUGCUUAACCAGGCUUUAGAGGCCAAGCAAAUCCGAGAUCAAUUUUCUUGUUUGGCUUUAAGUGACAUCAUCUAAAAUCAUUGUCCAAGUGCUAAACAGGGAUGUGAAACCCAAUUCAAGGCCAAGCGCCAGGGUAUUUGUCAAACGAGGUGCUGCAGAAGAAGCGGCUGGAGGGGAAGCUGUUUGUUUCCUUGCCAUUUUCCAGCCUGAGCUCUCCUUUUGCGUGGGUGUGUGUGUGUGUCUGAGGAAGGGAAAGAGAGAGCUGCUCUGCUCCUGGGUCUGCUCCUGGUCUGCUCACUGCUUUAAAAAACAAGGUCAGGUGGCAGUGAGCUUUUGGAAAACACAGUAAAAAAUGAUCGGGGAACUUGUGACAGGCAGUCGGCGAGAGCAACACAUGCGGAUGCGAGACCCUCCCGGGCCAAAUCCAACCAGUGCUUGCGAGCAACAGGGUGAAUCAAAACCUGGGGUUGAGGAAGAGAAGGAGGUAGGAAGAGGGAGUACCUUUUAAAUCUAAAGCAUCAAAUAUACAUAUACAUAUAUAUAUAAAGCAACCUGCAUAUAAACUGGAUAUAGCGUCCGUGUCCUUAAAUAAUACAUGCACGACACAAAUAUCGAAAACUGACGAUCGGUAUAGAUAUACAAAAAAACGUAGUACACGCACGCUGCUUAAAGAUACAUAUGCACCUAAACAGAUGCGCUCCCCAUAUAUUUAGGGAAAGCUUGGCGGCCCCGUUCUGGAUGGGUAGCUCCAACGCCCUGGGGGUUUGUACUUACAGCGAAGCAGGGGGUGGAGGAGAAGGACAGAGGUGGGUAAGGCGCUUUCUGUAUUUAUCCCCCUGUUCCACCACCCGACAGUUUGGUGUCAGAACAAGCUCCCAUUCCACCCGUCGGUUUGCGAUUCACUUGACUGGUGACUGAGAGGCCGAUGCCGAAAUCCUCGAGAGCAGCCGAGGGUCCCUCCAUCCUCCUCCUGUCCGGGAGGAGGCGGACGGGGGGGCACCGCGGGCAGAGCUGGACACUUCUCCAGCGGAGGGGCUCCCGGGGCGACCUCCACACCCGCGGGUCAGCAUUGCCCUUCUCCGAGGCCAGGAAUGGGAAGAAGGAGAUCCUGGGUCUUGCUAUUGGAGAGGUGCCUCCAGCGAGGCAGGGAGGCCCGGCCUCCACUGCUCGGGUACCGCCUGGGAAGCCUGCAAAAAGCUAUGUUUCCCCUCACCCCCGGCCCAGGACAACACGCUUGCGGGGAAGCUGGAGCAGGGAGGAAGGCCUGGGGCGCUGGGGAGGGAGGGACGGAGGGAGACAUCCUUGUCCUCGGCGCUGUGACCGGGCCGAUGCCGCCCUGGGUUACUGCGGCCCGUUUGAGGAGGACAAAGCAGUAGGUGCUGCACGAAGGUAACCCCGCAGCCAGGAGCUCCCGUGCGAGCAUCGGGGAGGUGCCGGGGAACAGGGAAGAGAUUCCUCCCGGUCCCCGGCACAGGCGUCCGACGGCGGGCGGGCGCCCGGCACCCCGCCCCGCGGGGAAUGCGGCUCGCACACCUUGCGACCUCCCUGUCCUCCCCCUUCCCUCGGUCCCCCGGAGUGCAGGCAGGUGACAGGAGCUGGGGCUGACUCCGGGUCGCACAUGGAUGGACACAGCCGUGGGGACAAGCAUGGAGGGGAGGAAGGGCCCGAUCCCUGCCGGCCCCGCUGCUUCUCUCCAGCCCUGCUCUCUGCUUUCCCGCGGCCGCUGUGGGGACCGUCGGCCGAGGCGCAGCUGCCACCACCCCCCGGCAGAUGGGUCGCGGCUUUAAGACGGGGGCACCAGAAUCUCUCUCCAAGCUGGCAGCACGUACCGAGUCCCGGCAGAAAGGGCCGAUAGGGGAAGAAGCCAGCCCGCUGGCCUCCCAGAGUUACAGACCGUCGGAGGAAUUAAGGGCAAAAGUUUUGCCUCGAGUUGAUUUCGUGUUCUGCCCGGAAAAGCUGCUGUUCUCUUUUUCCCCCUAAUCGGUUUUGUGUUUCAAUCGCUCCUAAGCUAUGUUCUUGAUAUUGCUCACUUGCGUUAUUAUUAUAACGUAUCUCUACAUGCACUCGAAAUCCGAGUCACUGGCGAAUUCAUCUCGUCGUCAGGAUUACUCCAAUCCGAUCCCAGAGGCGAUUAGAGGGAGGUAAAAUACCGCCUAAAGCCUAAUCUUUAAUUUCUUCCUCCUUAAUAAAAUGAAUAAUUCCAUUGCGUUUUUAAGUAAAAAAUGAAUUGAAAAGGAUAAUAACUCCGCUAACCUUCUGUUGCGUGUAUUAAUCUUUUCCUGGAAGUGUUUUCCCGCAGCGCUCCUGCUCGAGCCGGCUGCGUCUCACCCGUUGCCCGCUCUCGCGGCUGCGGACGGGCCGGCACCCAGCAGCCGGGCUCCGGGCGGCUUAUUCGGGUGAGCUUAAUGUGAAGGGACCCGGGACGCUACGGAAAAUAUUUCUGGUGGCGGCACCAGCGAACCCGGCGGCGCCUGGUCAGAGCCCGAUUACUGUUGUUGUUUUUAUUGUAAUAGUAUUUAUUGUUAGUGCCACCAUCGAAGUUCGGUUCAGAAGCUGGGGUUUGGUUUCACUAAAUACCAGUCUUUGCCGUCCCCUCCGAGCCGCCGGCUUUGUGAAGAGGCGAUUUAUCCCCGACGCAGGACGAAAUCUCCGUCCGCUCCUCGGCUCCGCCGCCGUACCCCGUGUCCGACCAGCGCCGCCCCACUCCGCAGCCUGUCGGCCGGCAGACCCUGCCGCAACGAAACGCAUUGACCCUAGUUUGUUAAAACCAGAAUUAGCCCCUGGCUGCUGGGCUCGCUCUUACUUCCCGCUCGGGGCUUGCUUGUUUGCUGUUUUUUGAAGGGAAGUCAAAAUAUAAACGGGGGAAAGAGGAGGGGUGGGAAGUAGACCCCGGGAUUACCCGAACGGUGCGCCAGUUUAUCAGCCGGCUCUGGGGCAGGUCCAGCGCCGCCGUCCUUUUGGGUGGGAGCCGCUGAUGCCGCUGCCCGCCUGCCGGGGCCGGGCCGGGGCUCCACGGAGGGAAAGGCGGCAUCGGGGCCUCGGCCCACCGGGCAGCAGCCGGGGGCUCUGCUGCUUCAGGAGCGCGGGCAAAGGCGCUUGGGUUCCGCCGGGUUGUUUAAAGUUGUAACACUUCUGUGUUUUCUCGAUUGACAUUUUAUCCGGGGAAAAACUUUCUGUAUAUGUGCACGUACAUUCUGAGACUAUGUACUUCCCUUACAGUGAGUGCGUGUUGGCAUCGCUCUAGAUCUGUUGCUCCGCAAGGAAAAGAAUAAAGUAUCACUAUUUUUAACGGAAUCCAUCACGAAAGAAAAACAGUUGACACUGACCCGCCAAACACAAGUGAUCCCGGAGUGUAUUGGGAGCUAACCUGGAGCAAAGCAAAGAGCUGGUCGGCUGCGUGGGCGCCUGUGUGCUGUGUUCCCGGCAGCGGAGUGCUCCGGGCUCGCCCUGACGGCGGGGAGAAGGGGUCCGCCAUCAACUGGCUGCCAUGCACACAGCCGGGACAAAAUCGGGGAGGCGGGGUCCGUUUGGGGGUGCAGCUGCCGAGAGGGAGGGAGAAACCACAUGAAAAACGUGAAGACAAGAACAAAAGCAGGAGCCGUCUGGAGAGGGCUCCCCGCCGUCCCCGGCUCGCCCGGCACCCCCGCCCGGUCAAGGACACGGGGGACAAGUCUCUGCAGUCAUCGGGAAGCAACAAAACAAUAUUGACCCAAAGGUCACAAACUUUUUUUUUCUUUUUUUUUUUUUUUUAUUUACCCUCAAUAAAACAGUCUUUAUUCAAACGAAACGCGCUGGGCAUCCCAGGCCGGCCGAGGUGUCUCGGCGUGUCCCACAGGGGUCCCAGCUUCCGCCCUUUUCGCACGAAACGACUCAAGCUCCCGCUCGGCGAGAGGACUGUACUGUUGCUGCGUUGUGUCUCCCGCCGUCUGCAUGGCGCUCGUUUGCCGUUAGUCCAAAGUUUGAUUAACAGCCCCUUCGGAAGGUGCAUAACGGGUGCUCUCCGUGCAGGGGGGCUCACCAGCAACCCACCCCACAGCCUUACACCCCUGCCUGGCAUUGCCGUGUCCGUCGUGGAGCCGCACUUGCUGCCGAAGCUGAGGUGCCCCC